rnacentral:pre_miRNA from 1 species
UUGACAGAAGAGAGUGAGCACACAUGGUGCUUUCUUGCAUGAAAAAGGACUCCAUGCUUGAAGCUAUGUGUGCUCACUUCUCUACCUGUCAA